rnacentral:siRNA from 1 species
GAAUAUUUCCUAACGCCAACAUUC